rnacentral:rRNA from 1 species
AGUAGUUUGAUUAUGGCUCAGAACGACGCUGGCGGCGCGUUUUAAGCAUGCAAGUCGAGCGGCAAGGGCCUUCGGGCCCCUAGAGCGGCGGACGGGUGAGUAACACGUGGACAAUCUGCCCCCCGGCCCGGGAUAGCCCAGGGGAACCUGGAUUAAUACCGGAUGAGACGGGACCCGCGAUGGCGGGACCCGGGAAAGGCGCUGCGGCGCCGCCGGGGGAUGAGUCUGCGUCCCAUUAGCUAGACGGCGGGGUAACGGCCCACCGUGGCGACGAUGGGUAGCCGGCCUGAGAGGGUGGACGGCCACAUUGGAACUGAGACACGGUCCAGACUCCUACGGGAGGCAGCAGCUAAGAAUCUUCCGCAAUGGGCGAAAGCCUGACGGAGCGACGCCCGCGUGAACGAAGAAGGCCGUGAGGUUGUAAAGUUCUUUUCGGGAGGGGGAACAACCGUGGCAGGGAAUGGCCGCGGGAUGACGUGAAUCCCGGAAUAAGCCCCGGCUAACUACGUGCCAGCCGCUGC